rnacentral:tRNA from 1 species
GCCCCGGUAGUAUAGCUCGGUUCAGUAUGCGGGCCUGUCGAGCCCGUGACCCGGGUUCAAAUCCCGGCCGGGGCG